rnacentral:rRNA from 1 species
GAUGAACGCUGGCGGCGUGCCUAAUACAUGCAAGUCGAGCGAACAGAUGAGGAGCUUGCUCCUCUGACGUUAGCGGCGGACGGGUGAGUAACACGUGGAUAACCUACCUAUAAGACUGGGAUAACUUCGGGAAACCGGAGCUAAUACCGGAUAAUAUAUUGAACCGCAUGGUUCAAUAGUGAAAGACGGUUUUGCUGUCACUUAUAGAUGGAUCCGCGCCGCAUUAGCUAGUUGGUAAGGUAACGGCUUACCAAGGCAACGAUGCGUAGCCGACCUGAGAGGGUGAUCGGCCACACUGGAACUGAGACACGGUCCAGACUCCUACGGGAGGCAGCAGUAGGGAAUCUUCCGCAAUGGGCGAAAGCUUGACGGAGCAACGCCGCGUGAGUGAUGAAGGUCUUCGGAUCGAAAAACUCUGUUAUUAGGGAAGAACAAAUGUGUAAGUAACUAUGCACGUCUUGACGGUACCUAAUCAGAAAGCCACGGCUAACUACGUG